rnacentral:lncRNA from 1 species
GACCAGUAGUGUUUAUGUGGCAGUGUAGGAACUUUACAACAUGUUUUAUUGGAAUGUACUAGGUUCCAAAGAGAGUCCCAGUUGCUUAGAAGGGAACUAGAAGAUUCAGGAGCUAUGAGCUUAAGCCCAGAUGUACCUCAGGUACGGCUCUUGAAUAUUCAAGUCUAUAUUCACGGAUCCUGGCCGGAUAGCCCUGGCAGCUAAGGCCAUUCAAAUGAAGAGAAGAAGAAGAA